rnacentral:rRNA from 1 species
AAUGGCGAAUGCAUGGGGACAGGCUCAGCGUGGAACUUGGGACUUCCCGUCCUGAAUUGUAGCCUUAAGAAGUGCAACUAGCAAAGGCGCAGCUGUAGGCUCUUGGGAAUGAGCGUCAAUGAGGGCGAACACCCUCCUUGUUCCCUGCAGCCCUUUGUGCACGGUUCACGAUCUAAGAGUCACACUCCUUGGGAAUGGUGUGCGAAGCGAGUGGCAACGUUCACUUAAAGCUCAACAUGCGCCUAAGACCGAUAGCGAACAAGUACCUUGAGGGAAAGGUGAAACAGGACUUUGAAAAGAUAGAUAAUACUCCCUGAGCAUGUUGAUAAGGAAGUGGAUAAGCUCAACGGUUCUUGGUGAGGUUGCUGUGCAGGACCCGUUCUGAAACACGGAUCAAGGAGUCUAACAUGUGUGCGAGCUCAUUAGUGGCAAAGACUUGUGUGCAUUGUGAAAAUGUUUGUUGGGAUGGGUGCACCAACGACUGGCAGUUCGACUGAAAGGUCUGAGUGUGAGUAUGCAUGAUAGGACCCGAAAGAUGGUGAACUAUUCCUGUGAAAAGCAAAGUCAGGGGAAACUUUGAUGGAGGCUUGCAGCGGUAUUGACGUGCAAAUUGUUCGUUAUACAUGGGGAUAGGGGUGAAAGACUAAUCGAACCAUCUAGUAGCUGGUUCUCUCCAAAGUUUCCCUCAGGAUAGCUGGACUUGAACAGUUGUAUCAGGUAAAGCAAAUGAGUCGAGGAAUCGGGGGCUUGUUGCCCUCGACCUAUUAUCAAACUCUGAAUAGGCGAGACCUAAAUGUUAUCUGUGUAAACGUUUAGGGAAAGCGACAAGUUCAAGUGGGCCAUUUUUGGUAAGCAGAACUGGCGAUGAGGGAUGAACCUAACGUCGGAGUGAGGAGCCGAAGCUCUUGCUCAUGGGAUACCAUAAAGGGUGUUGGUUCAUUUUGACAGCAGGACGGUGGUCAUGGAAGUUGAAAGCCGUGAGGAGUGUGUAACAACUCACCUGC